CCGGUAAACGGCGGCCGUAACUAUAACGGUCCUAAGGUAGCGAAAUUCCUUGUCGGGUAAGUUCCGACCUGCACGAAUGGCGUAAUGAUGGCCAGGCUGUCUCCACCCGAGACUCAGUGAAAUUGAACUCGCUGUGAAGAUGCAGUGUACCCGCGGCAAGACGGAAAGACCCCGUGAACCUUUACUAUAGCUUGACACUGAACAUUGAGCCUUGAUGUGUAGGAUAGGUGGGAGGCUUUGAAGCGUGGACGCCAGUCUGCGUGGAGCCAACCUUGAAAUACCACCCUUUAAUGUUUGAUGUUCUAACGUUGGCCCCUUACCGGGGUUGCGGACAGUGUCUGGUGGGUAGUUUGACUGGGGCGGUCUCCUCCCAAAGCGUAACGGAGGAGCACGAAGGUUAGCUAAUCCUGGUCGGACAUCAGGAGGUUAGUGCAAUGGCAUAAGCUAGCUUGACUGCGAGCGUGACGGCGCGAGCAGGUGCGAAAGCAGGUCAUAGUGAUCCGGUGGUUCUGAAUGGAAGGGCCAUCGCUCAACGGAUAAAAGGUACUCCGGGGAUAACAGGCUGAUACCGCCCAAGAGUUCAUAUCGACGGCGGUGUUUGGCACCUCGAUGUCGGCUCAUCACAUCCUGGGGCUGAAGUAGGUCCCAAGGGUAUGGCUGUUCGCCAUUUAAAGUGGUACGCGAGCUGGGUUUAGAACGUCGUGAGACAGUUCGGUCCCUAUCUGCCGUGGGCGCUGGAGAAUUGAGGGGGGCUGCUCCUAGUACGAGAGGACCGGAGUGGACGCAUCACUGGUGUUCGGGUUGUCAUGCCAAUGGCACUGCCCGGUAGCUAAAUGCGGAAGAGAUAAGUGCUGAAAGCAUCUAAGCACGAAACUUGCCCCG
rnacentral:rRNA from 1 species